rnacentral:rRNA from 1 species
AUGGACGUAUCUAAAGGCUUCCUUAGAAGAGACAAAACUCUCCAAUUAGUAAGGCAAGAUUCAAGACCUCUAGCCAUGAAGCAUAGAUUAUCAUGCAAAGAUGAUGAUGUUGAUAGUAUUGAAGAAGUUAUAGAUAUACAAAGAGAUCUAGAAAGAUACCCGAAAGAUACCCUAAGAAAAAUAAAACCUCAACAAGGAUAUCACAUGGGAGAAUCUGUAAAAGUUCUAUGGGAACAAUGGGUAGAGUCAUACCCUAGUCAAUAUGAAGAAUUAAAAAGGGUUGGAAGUAACCCUAAUAACCUUGCGAAUGUUAUCUCAAAUAUGAUCAUAGCAGAAGAUCCAGAAUUAGGACAUACCUCAUUACAAAAUGAAAGGGUGUAG